GGGGGGGGAGCUAUCAAGGGGGUGGGGGUUGCCUAUUCCUCUUGGAAUUCUCUUUUCACCACAAUAACUCUGAUAAAAGAUUACAGUUCUCCUCCCUUAAAGUUUUAGGCCCAACUUUAUAUCCUUCUCUAGAAAGUGUCUCUUCGUAGCCUUUGCCCAUUUUCCCAUUGGGCGGCUUCUCUCUUUUGUCUCUUCACUGUAGUCCAGUAUAUAUUCUGGAUAUUAUUUAUUAGUUGAUAUGCAUUAUGCAAAUAUUUUCUCCCAUUCUGUCACUAGUUAUUUCACCUUUGUUUUGAUAUAGUCAAAUUUGUUGGAUUUUUUCCNUUUCCCUUUUGGGUUUUUUUUUUUUUUUUUUUUUGUAUUUUAUGUCUUAAGAACCCUUUCUUUUUUUUUUUGCUCUUUUAGGGCCAUAGCUCCUGGGAACCUCCAUAUGCCGAGGGUGUGGCCCAAGAAAUGGCAAAAAGACAAAAAAAAAAAGAAGAAGCUCAUUUUCCCUUUCUUCUUAAUCUGUUAAUGUAGUAAAUUUAUCUUAAAAAUCACCUAAUGUUGAACCACUAUGUAUUUCUGAGGUGAUAAUGUAUUGUUCUUUUGAUAUAAUCUAGGAUUUGAUUUUCUAAUAAUUAUAAAUUUAAAGGUAAGUUUAUAAAUGCAACUACUCCAUAUACUUUUUUUUUUUUGCAUUUUUAGGGCUGCACCUGUGGCACAUGGAAGUUCCUAAGCUAUGGGUUGAAUCAGAGCUGCAGCUGCUGGCCUACACCACAACCACAGCAAUGACAGAUCCAAACUGCGUCUGCAACCUAUACCACAGCUCACAGCAAUGCUGGCUCCUCUAACACGCUGAGCAAGGCCAAGGAUCAAACCCACAUCCUCAUGGAUACUACUUGGAUCCUUAACCUGCUGAGUCACAAUAGGAACUCCUAUAUACUCUUAUUUUAUUAUACUCACUUGCCAUUUUUUGUCUCAGGUUUACAUUGAGAAAUUUUCUAUAGGUUUUUAGGCUCAUGGUUAUUAUCAUCUGUCCUGUCCUUUGAAAGUUUAAUAGAUUUUUUUCUGCAUAGUAUAUAAUCCUAGUGCUUUAUGUAGAGGAAAAUCACUGAAGGAUAAUAAAUUUGUAAUAUAUAUGUUUUAAAAUUGUUAUAAUUAAUAUGCAAUAAAAUAUACAAGUGUUAUGUGUUUAUAUUAAUGAAUUUUGACAGUUAUAUAUACUGUAUAAUUAUUGCUCAAGUAUUUUCUAAGAAACUCAUCCAUAAAUUUAGGUUUUCACAUUGUUUGAUAUAUGGUCAUAUUUAGAAUUCUUUCAUAAUUGAAAAAUACUCCUCUCCAAAAAUUGUCUUAUUUCAUGUUCUUAAUAUUG
rnacentral:lncRNA from 1 species